rnacentral:rRNA from 1 species
UACAGAGGGGGCAAGCGUUAUUCGGAAUUAUUGGGCGUAAAGGGCGCGUAGGCGGCCUUUCAAGUGACGGGUGAAAUCCCUCGGCUUAACCGAGGAACUGCCUGUCAGACUGGGAGGCUUGAGACCGGGAGAGGUGAGUGGAAUUCCAUGUGUAGCGGUGAAAUGCGUAGAGAUAUGGAGGAACACCAGUGGCGAAGGCGACUUUCUGGUCUGUAACUGACACUGAGGCGCGAAAGCGUGGGGAGCAAACAGG